AAUAUAUCUUAAAUAUGUUUUUAUUUAUUUUGUUUUAUGACGAAUGUCCAGGUACAUGCAUUUAAUUGGGCGACCAUAUUCGUACAAUCAAAGGUUUGUAAUAUUGAAAUGACCGAUAUAAAUUAAAAAGACACCAUCCCAACUACAUCAUGUUUCACCAAAUUAAAUGUAUGGACAUGUCCAACCACUGUAAUAUAUUGAGUAAAAUGUUCUUCAUGUUUUUAUCAACAAAAACCAUUUUACUUAUCAAAUAAAGUAAAACGAUUUUAUUGUCGUUUGCAUUCUUUUUUAUUCAUAUUUGUAAAUAAGUAUCACUUGACAUAAAUACAUUAACUCCACACUUAUAUGUACGAAACCCGUGAUUCAUUCAAAAUCGUCGCAAAACUUGUGUACACAUACAUUUUUUUUUGUAAGAAAACUGUAUGGAAUCUGUUGAUCAUUGUUCUAUGUUUAAUGUUAAAAUGUUAAGCGUGCCCAUUUGAUACAAAAUUUAGCAUACUUUAUUUUUUUCAUUUUACUGCAUAGAUUGAACCGCAAAAGGAGCAACACGAAUUUAGAGAAGUAUGUUGGUAAAUUUUGUUUGGUGUCAAUAAAUCUACGACUACAAGACAGGGAAGAGACGAUCAUAUUACAAGAAUGAGCAAAAUGGAUUUACUUUGGUGAAGAAUUAUCUAAUAGACAGAUAUACAGACUAACAUUUGACGGAAUGAAUUAACAGUAAGAAUACAGUUAAAGAAACCGACAACAUGUGUGUUCGAUAUAGGAGUAGAAAACAGACUACUAGCUACAACAUAAAUCAAACUUCUAAAAUGAACAUACAGAACUGCUGGAUACUAGAAUUGUUAAAUCUUAAUGAUAUUCUCCUGGUAAAAAUGUUGUUUUAGUCAUCAGCAGCGUCAACUACGGCAAACUAUGUUUUAUGUAUUUUUAAAUGUAUCUUUUGUCUCCAGAAUCUUUUAGAUUUGCAUACGAGGUUCUUAUUUCGAUUUCGCAAAAAUAUCUUUGAAUUUAAUAACUAUACCAUGUAGUACGGUUCCUCCGAAGAAAUAUCGUAACCCGUACUUGAAUUUUAAAUUUUAGUAUCUUAAAUUAUCCUAAUGUUUGAAUAAAAAAUGGCUAAAUUAGCGGUAAACUUAUUUUGUAUGGCAAUGACAACUAUUACUAUUACAAUUUUUUGUCGUUUAUUCCAAAUUAGCAUAUACCUUUUUUUCCCGAUACUACACUUACUGUACAACGGUAAACAUGCAAAAUGCCCAACUUGUCUACAGAAGCAUCAACACUUCCGCUUAAAAUAGUUGAAAUGCCAAGUCAAGUACAAAAUUGAUGAGAUUUUUAAAUAAAACACUUAAAUAAGAAUAUGAUACCAACAAAUGUAUAAAAGAAUAUUCAAUUUGUGUAUUAUUGACAUGGUACUGUGCUGCAGUUGAUAUUAAAAAUAUAGUCAGCUGUUGGUUUUAUGUCUUCAUUUGCAUUUAUUAUAGAUAUCUGUUU